rnacentral:misc_RNA from 1 species
AACGCACGAGACCUGCGGACCUGCGGAGGGAUCAUUACUGAGUUUCACAACUCUCUAACCCUGUGUGAACUGAAGUCUGGUUGCUCAGGCAGGCGGCCCCCGGGGGGAGCCGCAGCUUCUCUGAAGCGCCUGCCGGAGGAUACCUAAACUCGUUUUAACAUAUAAUCUUCUGAGUAAUAAAAAAAAUGAAUCAAAACUUUCAGCAAUGGAUCUCU